UGGGGAAUAUUGCGCAAUGGGCGAAAGCCUGACGCAGCCACGCCGCGUGAGUGAUGAAGGCCUUCGGGUUGUAAAGCUCUGUCGGGAGGGACGAAAGGGGCAACCCUUGACGGUACCUCGCAAGAAAGCACCGGCUAACUCUGUGCCAGCAGCCGCGGUAAUACAGAGGGUGCAAGCGUUGCUCGGAUUUACUGGGCGUAAAGCGUACGCAGACGGUGAGAAAGGUCGGAUGUGAAAGCCCCGGGCUCAACCCGGGAACUGCAUCCGAAACCAUCUCGCUAGAGUAUGAGAGAGGGAAGCGGAAUUCCUGGUGUAGAGGUGAAAUUCGUAGAUAUCAGGAGGAACACCGGCGGCGAAGGCGGCUUCCUGGCUCAUUACUGACGUUCAGGUACGAAAGCGUGGGUAGCAAACAGGAUUAGAUACCCCCGUAGUCC
rnacentral:rRNA from 1 species